CUUAUUCCGUCUACAGGAUCAGGAACAACAGCCGGUUCCAAUAGGCUCAGUUCAACUUCAUCUGGACCUUCAUAUUUUGGCUGAACGCCGAUACCGAAAGCCGAACUGAUCGCGAUUAGAACAAGGACAAAUUACGCUGUCCGAGAUGGUUACCUUAGCUAUUGGCUUAUGCCGGGGCCCUUUCUCUCCUUACAUUUUUCUUCAGUGUCUGGUGUGAACUUCUUCAUUGCAUUACGUGCACGUGUUCGCUGCCUCGUCAUGAAGAGGGUCUACUAUUUUGUAAGACCAAAAAGAUGAAAUUUGAAAAGGUUUCCUUGUUCAGUUUAUGAAGUUUAUGAGCUGUUAAUGGUGUUUUCUGGUGUUCAGUUGAGAGAUGCCCUCUGAGAUGGAUAAUAAACUGCUGAGCCUUUUCUCAUACCAUCGUCUUUUUGGACGUGGAGAAUGUCAGUUCACUGUAGAGUAGCUUGGCUGGUGAUAAUGUUAAUAAUAUGGUAAAAAUUUUUAAUUCCUGCCUUUAUUCCUUAAGGUUACUAAAUUUAAAUAUUUUGUGUGGUCAACUUACACGGAUCAAGGCAUGUAAAUCAUAUUUGCAAGAUUAAUUGCUAAUGGUCAUGAAGUCUGCUGUUCAUUUUCUCGUCUCUUGGUUCAUGUUGCACGUUUCGUCAUAUUCAGUACUUAAGAUUAAUGGAGUCUGAAAGCUUCUUUUUUGCUUUACGUGUACGUGGUCAUUGCCGUUUAAUGAAGGUUCUCUAAGAGGGUCUCUACUACAUUGAAAGACAAUAUAGUGAUGGAAAUAGGAAAUCUAAAUGAAAGAGUAAUAAUGUUCCCAUGGUCAGUUUGAUGUAUGAGCUGGUUCGUUGUGGCUGUUUUGGUGUGCAGUGAUCUUCCAGGAGAAAUGCGUUAAUAAGGACAAAGUGCCGCAACAAGUUGGCGACAUGGCAAUCUUAUCACCGAGCCUGACGACGUCUGCUAUGGAAACUGUCAGUCACGUUAUUCGUGAUUAUUGCGGUCAGCUUCAACAUUCUUCUUCACAAAUGUCUCAAAGGAUUAAUGGUUCGGUGAGGCUGAGCCUUUUAAUGGUGGUCAAAAGUCCACAUGGACUUGUUGCAGCCAACUGGUGAAGGUUGUGGGGAAGUGCUGCAUGUUGUCUGUGGUGUUGGUCUGAAAUAUUUUCAUUGCUUCAACUAGUUUCCAUCGUCAGUAAGAAGCUGUGUGUAAGAAAGUGUGUUGCUCUUUGGUGUGCAGUUCAUGUUUGGGUGGUUGUGUUGCAGCCAGCUGGUGAAAGCGAGUUCGAGUUGAGCUGAAGCUUAAUGAACCAGUCAACAAUGAUAGUGUUUAAAGUGAACUAUCAAUGAAGACAUCUUGAAAUGGAGUUGGUGACAAUGAGAUUGUCAAUCUGCUGCAUGUAGUUUUUACUAUCAAUAUGUGGAGAAGUAAGACUGGAAGCAAAGUUGCAAGAAAAAGAAAUGGUCUCGGCGAAAAUGUGCAGUCGUCUUGCAGUCUGACUCCUGUUCAAGCUGUUCCUGUCCUGAAUUGUGCUGGAAUCUUUGAAGUAGCUGAUCCUGAAGGUGUUAUGUUGGAGUUUUCUUGAAGAAGCUGAUGUUGGUGUUAUCUACUUACUGUGCCAGUGCAACGUGUCGAUAAAAAUAUUAUAUCCAUAUAACAUGUGAUUGUAGUA